AAAACGACUCUCGGCAACGGAUAUCUCGGCUCUCGCAUCGAUGAAGAACGCAGCGAAAUGCGAUACUUGGUGUGAAUUGCAGGAUCCCGCGAACCAUCGAGUCUUUGAACGCAAGUUGCGCCCGAAGCCUUUUGGCCGAGGGCACGUCUGCCUGGGUGUCACUC
rnacentral:rRNA from 72 species